ACAGUGUUUGAAUCUACUGAAUCGCAGCAGAAGUUAGCACACAUUUUGGAUCAAAAUGCUCCCAACACUUUUUUGCUUAAUGAAACAGUUACUACAGCUGCAGUAGUGCCAAAGUUGAGUUAUUCUGUUCCAACUUAUAGUCCUGCUGAUCAAGGAGUUUCAACAGAGAGCCAGGAUACAAGUCAGACAGCAUGUUCAGUUAAGUCGAUGGAGGAGAUAUUGAGGGUGGACAAAGGACCUGCUAAGCCUUCCAAAGAUGUACCUAAUACUGGGAAAAUGCAAUUAACUGCAGAUUUUAGUAAACAGACUGGGCAAGCAAAUGAUCAGGAAGUUUUGGCUACUUCAAAUUUUGAGGAUGAGAAACAAUUCGGGCAAGAAAAUGAUCAGGAAGUUUUGGCUACUUCAAAUUUUGAGGAUGAGAAACAAUAACUUUACAGAAGAGGAGGGAGCUCAAAAUUCAGAUCAUCAGCAGACCUCAAGUCAACUGGAAAUUUCAAAACAAGGCAAACAGGUCAUUGCUCCAGCAGAUUCUCUAUCUGCUAAAGAUUCAACUCAAAAUGCACCACAUUUACAGUUUGAAGAGGUCGAGGU
rnacentral:lncRNA from 1 species